rnacentral:sRNA from 1 species
GUAUAUACUACUACGUGAUUAAUAAAUACAUGUACAUGUAUAUUUACAUCUUACGAAAUGAGCGUAGCUCAACUAGUUAGGGGCUGCUGAUGGAUGGCUUGCCACGCGCCUAGCACGGUCACCUCACCUCCUUACAUCCCCUGUACGUUUGUACAUACUUUUGCAGUGGUAGAGCUAACUCAAGGGCAGGUCGGGCGGUCGCUUAGGCUCUGUCGCUGGCGUCUCGGCUGUAGAUAGCAUUUGAUGUCCCAAAAAAUUAGUUGAUUACUGAAAAACGCUAAUACUUGUCUGGGCUUCAUGGCAUCUUUGCUCCACCACUGUACUUUUGUAUACACACGUAUAAACUGUGUACAUGUAUAUAUACCAAGUUUAUACAUGUAUAUAUACUAAAUUUAUAUGUAUGUAUACAAAGUAUAAACUUCACAUAUACAUCUACAAAUUUUCUAUAUUUAGAAAAAUUGUGUGUAUACUUUUUAGAUGUAUAAAAAAUACACAUACGCAUAUAAACUUUAUACUUCUAUGUACAAAUUAUGCGUGUAUGUAU